GACGAACGCUGGCGGCGUGCUUAACACAUGCAAGUCGAACGGAAAGGCCCUGCUUUUGUGGGGUGCUCGAGUGGCGAACUUGUGAGUAACACGUGAGUAACCUGCCCUUGACUUUGGUAUAACUUCAGGAAACUUGGGCUAAUACCGGAUAGGAGCUCCUGCUGCAUGGUGGGGGUUGGAAAGUUUCGGCGGUUGGGGAUGGACUCGCGGCUUAUCAGCUUGUUGGUGGGGUAGUGGCUUACCAAGGCUUUGACGGGUAGCCGGCCUGAGAGGGUGACCGGCCACAUUGGGACUGAGAUACGGCCCAGACUCCGACGGGAGGCAGCAGUGGGGAAUAUUGCAAAAUGGGCGGAAGCCUGAUGCAGCAACGCCGCGUGCGGGAUGACGGCCUUCGGGUUGUAAACCGCUUUCGCCUGUGACGAAGCGUGAGUGACGGUAAUGGGUAAAGAAGCACCGGCUAACUACGUG
rnacentral:rRNA from 1 species